UUAAAUAACAUAACUGUUUCCUGUUGUUAGGAGCUGCUGCACCAAUUUAGCCCUUAAUUAAAAUUCUAGCGCAGAUUUCGGCAGCUGGAAAUAGAACAGUGCCAUUAGGAAUGCUCCAAAUAUAGCUCAAGCUUUUCUUCCACGCUACCCUUAGCAUCUACUUGGAAACGGCCUCAUCUUUUCACUUGUGUCUUGAUACUCGGAAAAAUGAGCAGCCCAGAAUAUAAUUGAUUUGGAGCCAUGGCACCAAGAUAGCUGAUGCCAGCUGUACACCAACCAGCUGAAGAGAGGGGCCAUAUCACACACAGUUCCUUUGCUGGAAGCAGAAUUCAGGUCAACCCACAAAAUAUUAAGCAAAUCAUCCUUCCCUUGUUCCUGCCACUAGAAAAGAAACCAGACCUGAAAAGACAAGGAUUUUUUUCCUUAAAAACAAAGAGUAAAUUCAUACUCUUCUUUUUUCUGUGGUUUGGGUUUUUUUUUAGUUAAAGUCUGAGUUUUUUUUUUUUUUUUGCAGGGAGAAGGAGUGAAGUUUCUCAGAGGAAGCUAAAGGAAAUCCACAUAGAAUCUAAUCACUUAUUUUUAAUCACCAUUUAUAACCUAUGCAGUAAAGGAUAUGUCGUCAAACAAGACCCCACUCUCCCUUGCUUAAAUUAGUACCUGAAGGCGGCCUGCAAACUCUACAGAAACGCCGACUUUGCCAUCUGGUGGACAUCCACAGGAACAGCAAGUAGCCUUCGACCUGGGGAGGCAGACCUUACCAUCUUUGAAAUAUCCAAAAUUGGACACAGCACCUCAGCUCGGGCACGGACAGCUCCAAGGACAGCUGAAGAAUUACUGAAUGUUCUGUAGGUGAUAACACUGGCUAUAAAUUGCAGUAAGGGUUUGCCUAUUUUACAGCAGCAUAACAUUGUUUACUCCUGUUCAGCCUAUGAUCUAUGUUAACAUCCAAAUCUUUUUCUGCUGUGCUGUUACUUAUCUUGUCCUUCCUUGCCUUAUGUUUUUUCAGUUCAUUAUUCUUGCCUAAGUGUGGUGACCUGUUUGUUUUACUUAUUUGCAUCCUCUCAGCUCCUCCUGAAGUUGUUCUACAAUGUAUACCUGUUAUGUUUGAUGGGUAAAAAUGCCUACUCACAGUAAUUGUAACUAAAUCAACAUGUUUGUUUAUUUAAAAAGAAGCUGCUCUCUUCUCUAGAGGGAAGUCUAGCCAGUGAAAUCUUCACGUCUUUUUAUUGAAUCAGAUUAUCCUUUUUUAUCUAGAUUAUUUUUCAAAUACGAGAAUUCCCUGCUGCCUCAUAUUUAAAAAGACAGAAUUCAGAAAUCAUUAUUUGAAAAUAAGUACUAAGACAACUUAGA